UGGCGUUGUACUGAUAGUGGAUGUAUGCCUAUAUAUAUCCUUCAUUCCUAUGUUAGAGUGUGUCAUUGUACUUGUACCGAUAGUGGAUCUAUGCCUAUGUUUGCAUUUGUGUCAUUUGUAAUAAGAAUGGUCAGAGUGUGUCAUUUGUAUCUGUUAGAGUGUGGCAUUGUACUGAUAGUGGAUCUAUGCCUAUGUUUGCAUUUGUGUUGUUUGUAAUAAGAAUGGUCAGAGUGUGUCAUAUGUACAAAUUAUAGUGUGUCAUUUGUAAUAAGAAUGGUCAUGUUUAUUGAUGUUCUAACACACAUUGUUGCAUUUGUGAUUGGUACGUUGACGUGGCCCAAGAUAUAUUCUUCUAACAAGUGGCAAAUCUUUAGUGAGGAAGGGGGAAAGUCCGUUGCCCUGAUUGUUAACAGACCGUAUGAUAGCACAAGCAAUAGGCCUUCUUGGUAUCACAAGAGUUGUGUAAAGCAUCCACAAGGGAAAAAAUUUGAUGAGGAAGGGGGAAAGUCUGUUGCUCUAUUUUUGAGCUGACCUGAUGAAAGUGCAAGAAAUAGGCCUUCUUGGUCUGAAAACAGUUGUGUAAAGGUUCGACAAAGGGAAAGUCUGUUAUUUAGUUUUUGAACAGACUGGAUGAAAUUGUUACCAAUAAUAAUGCUACUUAAUUAAACCCAUCUUACCAGCAAAAGAAAACCGUAUCGCAAUGGGAUCUAGAUCCAAAAUGACAACAGAUUGUUACCACUACGACUACUACCACUAAUUUUUCUUCUUCCACCACUAAUUCUUCUUCUUCUAUUACUACUACCACCAGUGCUACUAUUACUACUUCUUCUACUAGUACCACUAAUUGAGGUGCCUCUUCUUGG
rnacentral:lncRNA from 1 species